GACGAACGCNGGCGGCGUGCUUAACACAUGCAAGUCGAACGGGAUGAUUUAGAAGCUUGCUUUUAGAGAAUCUAGUGGCAAACGGGUGAGUAACACGUAGACAACCUGCCGACAGGAUGGGGACAACAUUCCGAAAGGAAUGCUAAUACCGAAUGAAGCGGAGGAGAGGCAUCUCUCUUCCGUGAAAGAUGGCCUCUAUUUAUAAGCUAUCACCUGUCGAUGGGUCUGCGUCUGAUUAGCUAGUUGGUGAGGUAACGGCUCACCAAGGCGACGAUCAGUAGCCGGUCUGAGAGGAUGAACGGCCACAUUGGGACUGAGACACGGCCCAGACUCCUACGGGAGGCAGCAGUGGGGAAUCUUCCGCAAUGGGCGCAAGCCUGACGGAGCAACGCCGCGUGAGUGAAGAAGGUCUUCGGAUCGUAAAGCUCUGUCGAUGGGGACGAACGUGCGAAGGGUGAAUANUCCUUGUAANGACGNUAC
rnacentral:rRNA from 1 species